AGAAAAAGUAGUUAAAAUAUAACAUAACAUUGUCAAAGUUAAAUUGCUUUUAUAGUCUUUUUCUA
rnacentral:tRNA from 1 species